UUUCAGGUUAGGAAUCAGUUGUCUUGGGGAAAAAGACUGAGGGUGGAACUGGGACUUGUCAAUGUGUUUCACCCCCUAGCCUGUACUACAGUGUGCAAAAGGGAAACAUCUCAUCUCAUCUUGUCUCACCUCAUCUCUCUUCUUUUGGCAGCGAAAGAAGAGCUGCUGACUAAUGGAGGCAGACCACACCAGCUCCUCCAGCUGCUAGCUCCUGGGGUGAUAACUGGAAGAUCUUUGAAAAUACUGAACAAGCUUAUACCAGAAUCGUCUCCAGCUCGCUGUAAAACCACCUGGAAACUUCUUCCUCAUCUGUCCUCUGUUUCUCUGCGCAACUCUAGGAGGAACCACCCAGGUUGUAGGUAGGCUUGAAAGAUGUACCUGAGCUACCUACUAGAUGUCUAGACGUGUUUCAGUAGAGAUUUUUUAAGAUGGGAAUGGCCCUACCUUCAGUAACACCAUGACUUCUUUACAUCACUCAGGUAGUGGAAAAUGAACUGAGGUAAGCUACAUAAAUUCUAUUCUGUAUUACUGGUGGUACAGACAGGCUUAACAAUGAAACGUUUUCUAUGCAGUGUAUGUUAAACAAAUAUUUCAUAAUUCCCAACAGGCAAUCUAAACAACUAUUUUCUUAUUGAUCUAUGUUUUUUUCAAUGCUACUCUUUUUGAAAGGAGAAAGUCAGUAUCAAAACAUAAAAAGUUUUCUUCCUUGACAACAGGUUAUGCUUUUUCCAAGAAGAUAGCAAUGCAAUUUAAACGUUGAUCUGUGGUCAUUUCCCCUAACUGAUUUGAUCUGAUCUGUCGCUAAAUCCCAACACUUUGUUGUAUAAUAAGCUCACAGUCUUUGAUUGUCACUGAUACCAGCACAGGAGCACUGAUCAGAAAAAAUCUUCCUUUGAUUUCUCCGGGUGGUGGAUCAGAUGCAGCAGUGCAAAGGAAAGAGCUGAGAGGAAAAAAAUAAAAGGAAAAAACAUAAACUUUUGAUUUCUGCC
rnacentral:lncRNA from 1 species